CAGGAUGGCCAUCCAGUAAUCAGCACAAGUUAGAAUGUGGGCAACUCGGCAGUCGUUGCGCAGGUACUUUGGUGACUCUAGAUAACUUCAGGCUGAUCGCACAUCCCCGUGACGGCGACGACGCAUUCGGAUGUCUGCCCUAUCAACUUUUGAUGGUACUUUUUGCGCCUACCAUGGUGACCACGGGUAACGGGGAAUCAGGGUUUGAUUCCGGAGAGGGAGCAUGAGAAACGGCUACCACAUCCAAGGAAGGCAACAGGCGCGCAAAUUACCCACGCCCGACGCGGGGAGGUAGUGA